rnacentral:tRNA from 1 species
GCGGCUGUCGUAUAAUGGUAAUACCCAAGCUUCCCAAGCUUGUGCCGGGGGUUCGAUUCCCCUCAGCCGCU